UGGCGGCAAUAGCGCGGUGGUCCCACCUGACCCCAUGCCGAACUCAGAAGUGAAACGCCGUAGCGCCGAUGGUAGUGUGGGGUCUCCCCAUGCG
rnacentral:rRNA from 2 species